UAAUACGAAGGGGGCUAGCGUUGUUCGGAAUUACUGGGCGUAAAGCGCAUGUAGGCGGCGAUUCAAGUCGGGGGUGAAAUCCUGAGGCUCAACCUCAGAACUGCCUUCGAUACUGUAUUGCUAGAGUAUGGAAGAGGUAGGUGGAACUGCAAGUGUAGAGGUGAAAUUCGUAGAUAUUUGCAAGAACACCAGUGGCGAAGGCGGCCUACUGGUCCAUCACUGACGCUGAGAUGCGAAAGCGUGGGGAGCAAACAGGAUUAGAUACCCUGGUAGUCCACGCCGUAAACGAUGAGAGCUAGCUGUUGGGAAGUUUACUUCUCAGUAGCGCAGACAACUCAAUAAGCUCUCCGCCUGGGGAGUACGGUCGCAAGAUUA
rnacentral:rRNA from 1 species